GACGGAGGGUGCUAGCGUUGUUCGGAAUUACUGGGCGUAAAGGGCGCGUAGGCGGCUUUUGAAGUCGGAUGUGAAAGCCCGGGGCUCAACCUCGGAACGGCAUCCGAUACUCUUGAGCUUGAGACCGGAAGAGGUGAGUGGAAUACCCAGUGUAGAGGUGAAAUUCGUAGAUAUUCGGAGGAACACCAGUGGCGAAGGCGGCUCACUGGCUCGAUACUGACGCUGAGGUGCGAAAGCGUGGGGAGCAAACAGG
rnacentral:rRNA from 1 species